AUUGAACGCUGGCGGCAUGCCUUACACAUGCAAGUCGAACGGCAGCGGACCUUCGGGUGCCGGCGAGUGGCGAACGGGUGAGUAAUAUAUCGGAACGUACCUUUCAGUGGGGGAUAACGUAGCGAAAGUUACGCUAAUACCGCAUAUUCUGUGAGCAGGAAAGCAGGGGAUCGCAAGGACCUUGCGCUGAUUGAGCGGCCGAUAUCAGAUUUAGCUAGUUGGUGAGGUAAAGGCUCACCAAGGCGACGAUCUGUAGCGGGUCUGAGAGGAUGAUCCGCCACACUGGAACUGAGACACGGUCCAGACUCCUACGGGAGGCAGCAGUGGGGAAUUUUGGACAAUGGGCGCAAGCCUGAUCCAGCCAUGCCGCGUGAGUGAAGAAGGCCUCGGUU
rnacentral:rRNA from 1 species